AUUGAACGCUGGCGGCAGGCCUAACACAUGCAAGUCGAGCUAGCGGCGGACGGGUGAGUCAUGUCUGGGAAACUGCCUGAUGGAGGGGGAUAACUACUGGAAACGGUAGCUAAUACCGCAUACCAUACGAUGUUCCCAGAUGGGAUUAGCAAGUAGGUGGGGUAACGGCGCACCGAGGCGACGAUCCCUAGCUGGUCUGAGAGGAUGACCAGCAACACUGGAACUGAGACACGGUCCAGACUCCUACGGGAGGCAGCAGUGGGGAAUAUGGCACAAGGGGCGCAAGCCUGAUGCAGCCAUGCCGCGUGUGUGAAGAAGGCCUUCGGGUUGUAAAGCACUUUCAGCGGGGAGGCGUUACCCGCAGAAGAAGCACCGGCUAACUCCGUGCCAGCAGCCGCGGUAAUAC
rnacentral:rRNA from 1 species